rnacentral:rRNA from 1 species
GACGAACGCUGGCGGCGUGCUUAACACAUGCAAGUCGAACGGAAAGGCCCUGCUUUUGUGGGGUGCUCGAGUGGCGAACGGGUGAGUAACACGUGAGUAACCUGCCCUUGACUUUGGGAUAACUUCAGGAAACUGGGGCUAAUACCGGAUAGGAGCUCCUGCUGCAUGGUGGGGGUUGGAAAGUUUCGGCGGUUGGGGAUGGACUCGCGGCUUAUCAGCUUGUUGGUGGGGUAGUGGAUUACCAAGGCUUUGACGGGUAGCCGGCCUGAGAGGGUGACCGGCCACAUUGGGACUGAGAUACGGACCAGACUCCUACGGGAGGCAGCAGUGGGGAAUAUUGCACAAUGGGCGGAAGCCUGAUGCAGCAACGCCGCGUGCGGGAUGACGGCCUUCGGGUGGUAAACCGCUUUCGCCUGUGACGAAGCGUGAGUGACGGUAAUGGGUAAAGAAGCACCGGCUAACUACGUG